rnacentral:sRNA from 1 species
GGGAUGGAGUGGUCUCAGAUGUGUCUGGGACAUCUGGGGUGCAGAAUCUGUAUUUCUGUGCCCCCUCUCCAGUCAUCAUCCUGGAGCCGAUGAAGGCAGGGGCUUCCUCCCAUGUGCAUUUUGGGAGUCUGUUCUGCCCUGUCUCAGGUAACCCCCAAGAGGGAGGAGUCUCUCCGUAUAGAAGGAGGAAACCUGCUAGGGUGGCGGGGUGCGGUCCAGGCCACAGCCUGGCUGCUGAGGCCCACCCACAAAGGACAGAGCUGAGGAGCUGAUGGGCAUGGAGUUUGAUUCGUGUGUCGUGUUUCAUAAAUGCUGAGCAGGCUACCCCAGGGGAAGCCCGUUUCCAGGACAACCUCAGAAGGGGAAGGAGCCAUGAGGGCUGCUGUGUCGGAUUUUAGCUCUAUGGACGCAGUGGCCCCGAGACGGUCCCCACACACAGCCUGGUCCCCACACACAGGCUGGCAGGACAGAGGCUGGUUGCUGCCCUGUCGUAUACAUGGUGCUCCUGGGUCCUGUGGGCCUUCAUGGUGAAGAAGAGAAGUAUUGUGUGCUGAGUCACUCAGGCCAGUGGCAGAUGCCCAUCCAAGAGCCACCCACCACCUGUGGCCGACCCAGGAGACCUCCCAGGACCCUGCAGGAAACAUUCCUCAUUCACAGCAUGGGGGCCUCAGCUCCUCACCUUCCCAGAGCAACUGGGCUCCCAGAGGCCGCCGCCUACACGGUGCCUUUUCUGGCACUGCUGUGACUGUCUCCAUCACUCUGUGCCUGUGACAGUAGCACUUCCUUGCAAGUUUAUUUUCUCCCAAAUCUCUUUGAGUCCAGGACAUUUUCUGGAAAACUGGAAGACUGGACACAGGACUGCCCCCAAGCACUGGGGAAGGAGGGAGAAUCCCAUCUUCCUGCAGCUUUUAUCAGAGGGAAUGCAUUUAGAUAAGGGCCAAGGGAGAAAACAGUCCUCAGAAAGUGUGGAGGGAAGUGGGGUACAGGCCUGGACGCCUGGAAUUGGAGAAAGGGGAGACCUGGAGAGGCAGACAUGGGGAUUUCUUCACCCCACUUUUACUGCCCCUAUCAUAAGAGGCUCCCAGAGGGCCAUGUGUGAGUCACUGUUCUGCACUGUCCCCUGCAUAGACUCGACUGAAGCAGGAGGAAGGAGCCCCCGGUAACACCCUGGGCGGGACUGGGGAGGCCAGGGCUUUGGGGCUUUUCCUUUCCUAAGGGCGGUGCCAUGGAAUCUUUUGGCUGGAGAUGACAUCGGGGUUUCUUUCCCUGGGCCCAGCUCCAAGCAGGUCGCUGUGUGGCCACCCCACCCAAAGGAAUGCACGGGUUGCUGGCUGGGAGAUUCUUCAAGAGCACACACUCUCAGGCCCGAUCAAGCUGUUCUCAGUUUUUGGGUUUCCCGUAGAAAACCCAAAGUUUUAUCUUCCAGCUUCUUGACAGGAAAAGUGGGGAGAAAGCCUUUUCCCCACCACACUGAUAAAAGGCGUUUGAGUACUGAAACGUUCUUAAAGGCUGUGUGGCUCGGCUCGCCAAAGCAGCCUCCUGGUGCUUCUCAGGUGGCCUUGAACACAGCCUGGGCCACCUGCCUGCCGGCCUUGCCCAGGAGGCACACUGUGGACCCUUCCAGGCUGCCCUGGCCCUGGGCACAGCCUUGGUUUGGAGUGGGGAGAGUUGGGGGUGAUGCCUGGCCUGGGGCUGGACUGCUGGGAGAAUGUGCUGUCAUUGAGUUCUUUUCCCAGCAGCCACUCCGAGCAUGGGCACACACCCUUGUUCUGUCAUUGGUCAGGGGACACCAGGACAAGGUGUCCCGGGAGCCAGGCAUCCUGGGGAAGGAAGGAGAAUUCCAUCUUCCUGUAGCUUUUAUCAGAGUGAAUGCAUUUAGAUAAGGGCCAAGAGAGAAAACUACCUAGAGAGUGUGGAAGGAAGUGGGGGUGCAGGCCUGGACUCCUGGAAUUGGAGAAGGGGGAGGCCUGGCUCUUGUCUCACAGACUCCAGGCUCUCUCCUUCUGAGCCCAGUUGUUCCUCCAGCAGUACCUGGCAUGGGGUUGGUUCUGUAGGAUGGAGCCUGAAGCUGCGGUUUCUGUGGGUUCCGUCUUCCUCUGGGAUGGAGGCUUCUGAGCAGGGAGGGAUUUGAGCUUUCAUGCAGCAGUGAGGGGCUGAGGGCAUGAGCUGUGGCGGGGGCUCCUGCUCCUCAGAGUGGAAGCAGAGCCAUCGAAUCAGCCAGGACAGGAGUCGUCCCAAAGGCCAGAGGCCCCAAGUGUUGAUGCUCCCCAUAGAAGGAGCCCGCUAAUAACACUCUCCAGCACAUAACCCCUGGCAUUUUCGCCACCACCAAGAGUGCUGCCCCAGACUCUCGGCACCCACCGCACGCUAAUCAUCUCUGGCAGUUUCUGUUGGCCUUUGUCUCCUUAACUCUCCUUCUCUUCUCAAUUUGAAGGAGAAGCCACAGUAUGGCAAGAACCCCGUGGUGAUGGUGGACGAGAUCAUGAGCUCCAGCCCUCCAAAGUUCACCUUCCCUGAAGCAGGCUUACGAAUCAUGAUCACCAAUAAGUUUGGACCCAGGACCCGACUACGGAUGGCCAGCAGGAUCAUCAUUAAUGAGCGGCAGAGACUGAUCAACUCGGCCAAUGGUGUGAGCAGCAAGCCGCUUCAAAACGGGAGGCACGAGAACAUUGAGAACGGGAAUGUUCCUGUGGAAAACCCCGAAGACCCUCAGCAGAAUCAGGAGCAGCAGCCGCCGCCACAGCCACCACCGCCAGAGCCAGAGCCGGCGGAGGCUGACUUCCUGUCCCCCUUCUCCAUGCCGGCCACAGCGGCCUCCUCACUGUCAUUCCUAGAACACACCAGGUGCGCACCUGCCCCAGGACCUUUGCACCUGCCUUUUGCUGGAAUGCAGUUUCCCCAGCUCCACAAAGCAGGUACUUUUGUUUACUGCAUUUAUCUGCAUCCCCAGUACCCAGGACUGGCCACAUAGUAGGGGCUUACUGUGAAUAAGGUCAUGAAGCCAGCACAUGGCCUUAGGCUGGAGUGCAGUGGCAUGAUCUCCGCUCACUGCAACCUCCACUUCCCGGGUUCAAGCGAUUCUCCUACCUCAGCCUCCUGAGUAGCUGGGAUUACAGACACAUACCACCACGCCUGGCUAAUUUUUGUAUUUUUAGUAGAGACAAGGUUUCAUCAUGUUGACCAGGCUGGUCUCGAACUCCUGAACUCAAGUGAUCCACCCACCUCAGCCUCCCAAAGUGCUGGGAUUAUAGGCGUGAGCCACCAUGCCCAGCCGAGACAGGGUGCUUUAUACAUAUUAAGUCAUUAAACCCAUUAAAACCCUA